AUGAGGCUUAUUUUUAGCAAUUUGCUUCUGUUUCUUGCUCUGGGACCCUGUUUCAAGUCCACUGAUGCACAAGAGACAACAACAGAGACAGAUGCAAACCUCAGCACCACAUUACUGGACAGUGACACUGUGGAGACAAUGUUAAGUGAUGAAAUCACCAGCACCACACCUGAAAAUACAAAUACUCUACUACCAACAGAAACGGAUACGCAUAAUCCAGAAACCACACUUGUUUAUCAAGUAAGCACCAUGCUUGAGAAACCAACAGUUGAGAGUACUCCAGCACUCAGCACUGAGAUCGAGCAAACGUCAACAAAAUCUGUUUCUGAAACAACAACUGUACAAACAGAACAGACCACAGUGACCACCCCUGCUGUGCCUGUUAAUGUGGAAACAACAGUGACUGAACAAAUAACUUCAGACACCCCAAGCCCAAGUCAAUAUGAAUCAACUGUUGGCUUCAUUGAGUUAACAGAACGUCCUACAGAUGAAAUCACCACAGCAGCUGUGACCAUGACCACUGAUUCAGCAGAAGCCCUCAAUCCCACAUCCAUCCUGACCACACCACCUGCAGACAGGUCUCCGUCCAUCAUCUCCGACCUUGUGGACACCAGGACUGAAACCUCCACUACAAGUCUAACAUCAACCUCUCAGCUCCCUCUUAUAUAUACUGCUGCACCCGUGCACCCGUACUCGACGUCUGAUGAAGAAUCAGUCUCCACCCAUUUCACCACCAUAAUCGCUGGCAUAGUUAGCAAGGAAAGCAGUUCGCCUAUACAAACCAGCUGGAUAUUAAUACUGAUAGUGUGUGUGGCCAUUAUUUCUGUGCUAUGUGUGAUUCUGUAUGUCCAGUGGAGAAAGAAAAACGCCUCAAGGAAUUUCGGCCCUAUGUCCAAGUCCAAGAAGAAAAAAGGGGGGGAGGGUGACGCAUGGGCGGGGCCUGUCAAUCUGGAGGCCGGAGCUGAAUGUGAUGCUGAGGUACAGGAUGGUCUUCUGCCUAAUAAUGGGAAACCGGAUGGAGAUGAUAUGGUGCUCAGCACAUUCGCCGCACUGGAUGCAGGAGACACGUCUAACGGUGGAGUGGGUGGAGACGGUACCAAGGAGGCUAAGAAAUGGGAGGAGCAGGAGCCUUUGUUUUUCAUAGAUGAGGAUGUGAAUGAAGACAAGACAGGAAAAACACUGGCAGAGAAUGAGAAACAGAAAGGAGAUGAAAAAAGUGAAGAGAAGGGGAUGAAUGGAGGAGAAACGUUCUGUCUCACCACAGCUGUUUAA
ensembl:lncRNA